rnacentral:rRNA from 1 species
ACGAACGCUGGCGGCAUGCCUAACACAUGCAAGUCGAACGCCCCGCAAGGGGAGUGGCGCACGGGUGAGUAACGCGUGGGGAUCUGCCCAUCGGUGGGGAAUAACCUCGGGAAACUGAGGCUAAUACCGCAUACGCCCUGUAAAGGGGAAAGAUUUAUCGCCGAUGGAUGAACCCGCGUCCGAUUAGCUUGUUGGUGAGGUAAUGGCUCACCAAGGCUUCGAUCGGUAGCUGGUCUGAGAGGAUGACCAGCCACACUGGGACUGAGACACGGCCCAGACUCCUACGGGAGGCAGCAGUGGGGAAUAUUGGACAAUGGGCGCAAGCCUGAUCCAGCAAUGCCGCGUGAAUGAUGAGGGCCCUAGGGUUGUAAAGUCCUUUUAACGGGGAAGAUAAUGACGGUACCCGUAGAAUAAGCCCCGGCUAACUUCGU